GAAGGACGAGCCAGUGCUUAGCGUCGACUGGGCCGAAGCAUAUGAGCAUGGUGGAAUGGUGAUCAAUGCAAGGAUGAUUAGGAAGAAGAACGUGCCCAUUUUUCUUGGUGUUGAUGGAGUUGUAUGGUCGAAGGAAACAAUGCCGCUUCCCCUUGAAGCAAGAAGAAAGAACUGGCACUGGGUAAACUGCACGCACCACAGCGAUCAGAAGCAGGACCAAGUGAUCUAGUGGCAAAUCGAUUGAAAUUCAGUGGUAGCUAACAGCACGUACGGGAGGGUCCAAGGACCAAGUGCUAGUGGACAGAUAAAUCCGAUGCAGCGGCAAUCAAUCCGGAGCAACCAAGCACUGGUGGACAUAGCAGCAAGCAAGUGACUUGAAUUGGAACAAGCGCGAAGUCCCCCGGAGGCUCGAGCGGAGUGCAGCAUUUUGCCUCCCCUGAUUCAGGGAGCUCGACAUUUUGCAAAUUUCAGAAACUAUAUUUUGAAGUUUGAAAAAUUCGGAACUAUAUUUUUAAGUUAUGAAAAUCCGAUAUUUUUCAUGGAUA